rnacentral:sRNA from 1 species
UUAGUCUCCGUUCUUCUAACCUUGCGUGUACCAGUAUCUUUUUUCUUGUCCAUACAGUUUUGUGUUUCCUACUUUUGUAUUAUUUUGUCUGAAUAUCAUUUUUUUAUUGUAUAUAUUGAACGACAGUGUAUCAAAUACUAAUUGUUAUUUAAUUGAAUAUUUUUUUAAUUGUAUACUUUUUAUCUAAUUGUCCUUAUCGUGUUUAAAAAACUCAUUUAAUGAUUGAUUCUUUUAGUAUAUAGUUUUAUGUUUGUAAUUAUAAUGUAUCAAAAUUGUGUAGUUACCGUAACAUUUUGUAUGUACCAGGAACAUCGAAGUACUAAAAAGAACAAUUCAAAAUUAUCAUUGUCUCAUAUAUUCAUGCAGAACUGGCAUAUUAUACUUGAAUGGUUCUACAUGUUGAUAUCAAUGUUUUUGUCUGCUUGCACUGAUUAUAUAGAUAAUUAGAAGACACAAAGAAAGAGUUAAAACUUUUUACAUCAAUAAGUUAUGUUUUAUUUUAAGUACAAAAUCAAGCCAUUAAGGUAAAAACAAACUUUGAUUGUAGUUAAAAUGUACAAAUUGCAAUUAGAUGGUCAUUUAGUGUAAAACACAAUCACUCAGCCACCUCAAUCAAUUUGUGCAAACAUAUGCCUAAAAUUACAAACCCCUAUUUAUUUUGCUUUUGGCAAACGCUGUACCAACAUUAUUCAUACAAAGCUGAGACAUAACUGUGUAUUAAACUAUGAUCUUUGUAAACGUAAUAUUAUAAAUAAUCCGUUGUGUUUAUGUGGUCAAACAGAAGAUGUGUAUCAUUUCUUUUUUAUUUGUAAAAAAAAAAUACUCUAGAGCGAGAAACAACAUAUUUGAUCAGUUCUUUAUGUUAGAUUUAGUCAAUAUUGAUACUAAUUUACUUUUAUAUGGCAACAACAACCUUUCUUUGCAUAUCAACAAAAGCAUUUUUGCUUCUGUACAAAAGUUUAUAGACGAACCCUUGGGAUUUAAAUAAUAUUUCUUUGUGUAUAUCAAUAUUAUUUUUUCUUUUGUUCUAUAUUCAUAUGCAUGACAACUAUUGUUAUAUUUAAGGAGAGGAGCUUGUAAGUUGUUAGAACUUGUUUCUGAUCCUUUUGUUUAAUCAAUAAAAUAUGAUCAAA